UUUUUUUUUUUUUUUUGCCAGACUUUCAGUGUCUGCCUCUGUGACUUGGAGCUGGUCGUCAUUAAGAGAGGAAGAGAGUUAUCAGUGAGAGGUGUUCAUUCUAUUCUUUGCAUCCACUCCAGAGCAGCACCAUGUGAUAAGCCAGAUGGGGACUAUGUGCAUGUGCCCACAAUAAUGGAUUGACAUUUGAAAGCCACUGCUCAGAAUGAAGUAAUCUCCGAUGUCUUAGAUAGAGGAAGGAAGGCCUGUGGAUGCAGCCUAGGUGACUGAGUCCAGUUACCCAGGAUCCGUUCAUCAGAAAGCCUCUAAACUGCUCCAGAGAGGCUGCAACAACCUAACUCAUGCUAGAUGAUGAAAAUGCACUUCGAGAUUACUAAACAAACCAACAAACAAACAGCCAUGCCCUUGGAGAAACGAAACAAUCUCUCAAACAUAGACAUACCUCAGGCCAGGGGUCAACUUGUACAUUAAAGUGUUUGAUACUUUUUAUGAGCAAAGAUGUUUAGUGGAUGUUGCUCCCAAGAAAGUUUUCAAGAAGACCCUAAAGAUUAUCUAAGUGGGCAGAAAUUAUAGGUGACACCUGUUUUUUUCUUGACAAAGCAAUAGAGUAAAGUAGGAAAGAACUGGUGGUUCUUUUCUACAGAGAGAUUAAAGUUAAAGCACAGAGGUUAAAGUUAAAGCAAUUUGGCACCCACAGGAAGACACUUACAGACAAGAUGUUCUCUGGCACAGACUUCAUUGUUGGUGAAAUUAUAAGAUUACACAAAGAGCAAUACUAUUCUUUCCUAUAGUGGUUGCUUCUUAUUAAUAUAUAUGUAUAUAACACAUAGUACCUGAAGUUUUGUGAUGACUGGUUAGUAAGUUUUCAAAAUUCAGAUUAAUCUAUUCUUAACAAUAUGGACACUGAUAGCCUAUUAGCAAGCCAUUUAUUUGGAAUUUAUAAUCAUGGAAUUUUCGUACUACAUUAAGAAUCUCCAUGGGUGAUAAUAGAGCACUAAAAUAGCUAGCAUUGCACUGAUGUUUCUCACUCUCUACAUUUGUUUAAUUCCUCUGCCAGAGACACUUACUUAACUUGUCUUGGUGGAUUUUUGUAAUGUGUCUUUCAAAUGGAAAAACCGUAUUCAAGCAUUCCAGUUUUAUCAAGUAGCAAAAACACCCAGGCUGUUGGCCAGAAUUUGCAUGUUUGUUACUGCAGUACAUACCCAGAUAUCUCAGGCAGAGGAAUAAUAACAAUUUUCCACAAUGUCAUUGGAUCCAUAAUUCUGGCAGUAGGUUAAUUCACUUAGCCACUUCCAUUAAAGCAAUAAUUAUUGGCAUAUAAUCUUAGAAAUCACCAUGCAUUGCGGUGUUCAAUUCCAGUUGAAAUAGAAUUUUUAGUUCAAUAAAUGUUUGCUAAGUACCUAC